AACGAACGCUGGCGGCAUGCCUAACACAUGCAAGUCGAACGAGACCUUCGGGUCUAGUGGCGCACGGGUGCGUAACGCGUGGGAACCUGCCCUUAGGUUCGGAAUAACUCCCCGAAAGGGGUGCUAAUACCGGAUAAUGUCUUCGGACCAAAGAUUUAUCGCCUUUGGAUGGGCCCGCGUUGGAUUAGCUAGUUGGUAGUGUAAAAGCCUACCAAGGGGACGAUCCAUAGCUGGUCUGAGAAGAAGCUCAGCCACACUGGGGCUGAGGCAAGGCCCAGGACGCUUAGGGAAGGGGGAGAGGGGGAAAAUAGGCAAAGGGGCGAAAGCCGGAACAGCAACGGCCGGGGAAGGGAUGAAGGCGUAAGGAUGGGAAGGCGCUUUAAACCGGGAUGUUAUGACGGUACCCGGAAAAUAAGCACCGGCUAACUUCGUG
rnacentral:rRNA from 1 species